GGAUAGCUCAUCUGGUAAAACAUGAGACUCUUAACCUCAGGGUCAUAGGUUCGAGCCCCAUGUUGGGCA